GGCGGGGUGUCAUUUGCACUCCUUCAGCAUAGACGUGCAUACAGGGACGGGCCCUUGAGGGAGUCUGGCUGUUUGGAGUGUGUGAGGCUUAACACGUGUGCCAGUGUGACCGACUGAUUAGCGGCGUUUUCAUCGACUGCCUGCGUGCCGUCUGUCAGGAGAGGAGAACUCCAUACUGUUUCACUCUGUCUUUCCAAUCCAGCUGGUUGGCUCCGGCACGCGCCACCUCGCGUCCCCUUGACAUUUGAGCUAUGCUCCAACCUCAGAGAGUUGCUUCGGCACACAAGCAAUAGUUCCUCCUACUCAAGAUGUCGGAGUAGGCAGUUUGUGAGGACCAAGACGAGAGCCCACGCUAAAGGUUACAAACAGCCCCCACCCCCCUCACCAGCCGGAGGUUUAUGUGGCGUGCCGGCAACAAGGUUCCUCUCACCAUGAGUAUCAAUCUGAAUAAUUAAUCUGUUCUAAUUCUUCUAAUUGCUAAUGAAUUAAUUUUGUCAGCAGAGUCAAUGUUUAUUUUGUGUAUUUUUAUAUAGUAUUAUAAUACAAACAUAGUAUAUUAAAUGGUUAAUUUAUGAUGUAUUUAAUUUAUCACUUUUAUUUUGAUGCUGAUAUUUUAACCUUAAUUAUGAUUUGUUAGUUAUUUAGCACAAAUAAGGAUAAUAGUAUAAUAAUUUAAUAAUAAAUAGUAUAAUAGUAAUAGUAGUAAUAAUAGUAAUAAUUAUUAGUAGUAAUAAUAGUAAUAAUAUGUAUUUACAUGUAUUAUCAUACAGUAUACAGCUAAUUUAAUGUAUUUUAAUAUUACAUAAUAUCAGUUACUGUACAUGUAAUUUAUUUCUGUAUAAUGUUGUCACUAAUGCUUUAAAAUAAAAUAAAAAAAUAAAAUAAAAUGAAAAAAUAAAUGCUGUAAAAAAAAAAAAACAAACUUGAAUUAUAUUAGGAAAGCAGGAAGUGAACAAAUGUAACAGUUACUGAUUGUAAAAGUACCAGAUGGAAGGGUAGGAUUGAAUAAGCUUUGCUUCUUCCUACUCCUUUUGGACAUGUGGAACUGUGAACUGAUUAUGGGAUGUACUCAAUUGUAAUCUGAUGCAUGUUCAAAUAAAAUAAAACCAUUACCAUUACCAAAUACAUUUGAUUUCCAAAAUCUUAUGCGACUUCCAGCUUGAUCAGCCCUGCGCUGCGUGACGCAGCCUUCAUGAAAAGUUGACCUAUUUUUAGCAGAGAGCCGCUUCUUCGCACAAACAAACGGAACCGCAGGCAAUGUCACGAUGAGUGACAGCGUGAAUGGGGCGGCCACCAUGACUGAGCUACAUAAGAACAAACAGGUGCCAAUCGGAACUGGACAAUGACAAUAGCAUAAAGGAAUGGUGAGGGAUGGAUCGAAAUAGUACGCUCAAAUCUCACUGCCUUUACUGAAUGGCCUUUGUGGGGAAAACACUGUCGUCUGCACGUGAUGUCAUGGUGGCAGCGAGCCACAGUGCAUGAUGCCUGUCAGUGCUGAACAAACCCAGGAUGCAACCAUGGCACUUUUCUACCCGGAUACACGAAUAUUAUUUAUGCUGGCGUGUUAGCUUUUUUUUCCAAAAAAUGAACUGUACCUAAGAAGUGGAAGCUUUUUAUUUGGCAUGUAACAUCCAACCAUCCAUUUUCUAUGCCGCUUAAUCUCAUUAGGGUUGCAGUGGUUAAUUUACAUGGAACCUAUCAUACAUUUGACUCAGCACCCAUUUUGUGUCCUGUUUCCUGCUGGCCUUCUGCUGGGUUUGGAAACAAGACGAUUCAAGAUUGUGAAGAGCAAACCGGAUUGAAAGGGAACCACACACAGAUUGAAAAUAUUGUUUUCAUGUCUUAACUUCUAGUUAACUUCUUUUUACACUUUUUCUACAGUUAUCGAUGUUUAAAUUCACUAGAAAAUUACCUUUACUGCUAAAAAGUGGUUAACUUCCACGUGUUAUUUAACCUCAAUGUGAAGACUAUUUAUUAUGUUUUGGCUUUUUUGGUUAACUUAUUUUUACACCUGUAAGACACAGCCAUUUUUCAAAAAACAACCCCUUCAGUAUCAGCAGAUUUAGACAUUUUUGCUCUUUUCAGGCACACUGAAUAUUGCGUUCUAUUUAAACAUGGACCCUACCUCAUGCUUUAGAAAAAUAAAAAGUGUAUUUACCGUUUUCUAUUCUUUAGUAAUCAGCAGUAGAUCUCAGUGUAUAGACUGGUCAUAUAUCUCAUCUCGUUUCAUAUUAUCUACAUACUGUAUUGUAUAUAACUCUGGGAAAAACUGUUGAUUUUGUUAAUACUUGGGUUGUUUAUAUUGUUUAUUUUUCUAUAUUGUGUAUUUUGUACUGCUUAACUGAUUCUGUACUUUCUGCUGUGCAAUGCAAAUUUCCCCACUGAGGGACGAAUAAAGGCAUAUCUUAUCUUAUCUUAUCUUAACAUAGGAAAGUUCCAAGAAAAUAUCAGUUCCUGACUACAAAUGUAACUUUCACUUUGAUAAAAGUUUUUUUCCCGUUUUUGACAGCUCAAAUACCUUAACAACGACACCAACAUAAACGACACAAAAAGGUUUCUUUCACUCAAUUUGCACACUUCUUUUUAGACUUAGAAAUGAGCGUCCACGUCCACGUCCACACCACAGCCACUCCAACACGACAAGGGUGCAUGCACCAAUGUCAAACGUUGGGUGGCAGGUGGAAACUCCAUGUGUAUCUUGCGCUGAAAUAUCAUGAAAAUAAAGCAACAGCUGACGUAACACACCUUUUAGGAAGUCUUUCGCUGCCAUGUUGAUGUUACAGACCAAACAUGACAGCCUUGUGCAUCCAUUUGCAACAGUUUACUCAGCCCCCGUGUAGCCAGUCAGGUAGAAUUUGUCUCCUCUCAUCCUUACUGGAUUAGCGACUAAUAUGUAUGCUGAGUAAGGAGGUCAAAGAAAGGUUUUCUUUGUCAUGUUGCUCAUAUUCAUAUUUCACUCGUGGCUCCGCAUGAGAAGCCAGGCUAAUAAGUGGCGGUCGAGGAGAAGGUUGAGAUGCUGAUGCCACUGAUUCUUACGGCAUGGGUGGGCAUUGAACGCUCGUUCAAGCGAAUCACUACUGUAUGUUGUACUUACAGUAAGAGCGAUAUUUGCUAAUGCAGUAGUAUCCGGUGACCGGCACGGGUCCACUUGCAGCCCAAACCUUGUGUUUUCCAGCAUAUUAAAAGAAAAAUGCAUGAACCAGUAGUUUAUAAUAUUGUACUUUUGACAAUUUUUCACAUUUAAUGAGGUACUUCAUUCGGGGGUUUUAUAAAAGCUAUUAUAUACU